CACUGUUUGAGUGGGUUUACACAGAUGGAGACCAUUCUUAGUCAACAUUCACAUAAAAAUCAGCCCGGGUCCUUUUAAUUUCUGGUUUUUCCCCCCUUCUUCUGGUUGGCCUCCUUUUCAUUGUGUGUAGACAGUGGCGGAGACUUUGCUGUUUUACUGGGCGGGAGAUGAGCCCUUUAUGUGUUUAAGAGCUCUAAACUUCACAAGGAUCCGUAGAUUCUCACAGUCACCAGUAAAGACCACCUCGUCAUUCACGUUUUUCACAAAAGGCAAACCAUUUUUUUUUUUUAACACGUCUGGGAGUUACAAUAGUUUAAGUCCAGUAUGGCGUAAACAGACAACUGGUUUCACUGCUUUUUUCAGCGUGAUCCCAACGAAGAAAACAACUGAACCACAAGGCUUCCCUCUGUCUGCGACGUGAAUAGUUUUCUCUCCAGCCUUUAGGACAUAAGCUUGCACAAAGUCAACAAAGCCACAAGCACAAUACUGUGGAGCUCUUACGUGUAAGAGAAACAGCAGCCGCGGAUCGCAGUCCGCCGGGAUCAUCAGCUUCCUCAUUUACGGCUCGAAGGCGAUGCCAAACGUCAUGUGAAACCAUGAAGGACGGGAGGCAAUAAGUCGGGAGAAUAGCAGCAAUCUUGGGGAAAGUUCUCCAUUCACUCUCACUCCCGUAUAGUUCUCGGUCCCCUUAUCCAGCUUUGAAGAUAAAGAAGAAAAAAAAUCAAUACAGAAACAGUGUGAGAUAAAAGCGCAAAGGGGGGAGAGAGCCGAGCCGAGUUGGGUGCAGUGAAUUAAAGCGAUGAGAAAUUUCCCGGCCGCUCGGUUCCUCCGUCUACAUACGCUAGCAGGCCUGUCUCGCUGUGUCCAUCACUCUCGGCGCUCUCUUCAAUCCCUCUUUGUUCACUUUUGAUUUCUUUUUGGUCUAUUCCCAGUUGGCUUUGUGUUUUGGGAUGAAGGACCGGCUCCCCAUUCAGCUGCAAUAACUGCUGAGUGAAGGUUUUGGAUAUUGGGAGGGAGCUUCCGUGUUGCCG
ensembl:lncRNA